AUUGAACGCUGGCGGCAGGCCUAACACAUGCAAGUCGAACGGUAACAGGACGCAGCUUGCUUCUUUGCUGCCGAGUGGCGGACGGGUGAGUAAUGUCUGGGAAACUGCCUGAUGGAGGGGGAUAACUACUGGAAACGGUAGCUAAUCCCGCAUAACGUCGCAAGACCAAAGAGGGGGACCUUCGGGCCUCUUGCCAUCCGAUGUGCCCAGAUGGGAUUAGCUGGUAGGUGGGGUAACGGCUCACCUAGGCGACGAUCCCUAGCUGGUCUGAGAGGAUGACCAGCCACACUGGAACUGAGACACGGUCCAGACUCCUACGGGAGGCAGCAGUGGGGAAUAUUGGACAAUGGGCGCAAGCCUGAUGCAGCCAUGCCGCGUGCAGGAAGAAGGCCUUCGGGUUGUAAAGUGCUUUCAUCGGGAAGGAAGCGAGUAAAGUUAAUACCUGGGGUCAUUGACGGUACCCGAAGAAGAAGCACCGGCUAACUACGUG
rnacentral:rRNA from 1 species